rnacentral:rRNA from 1 species
UGUAUCGGAACGUGCCCAGUAGCGGGGGAUAACUACGCGAAAGCGUAGCUAAUACCGCGUACGCCCUACGGGGGAAAGCAGGGGAUCGCAAGACCUUGCACUAUUGGAGCGGCCGAUAUCGGAUUAGCUAGUUGGUGGGGUAACGGCUCACCAAGGCGACGAUCCGUAUCUGGUUUGAGAGGACGACCGGCCACGCUGGGACUGAGCCACGGUCCAGAUCUCUACCUGAAGCAGCAGUGGGGAAUUUUGGACAAUGGGGGAAACCCUGAUCCAGCCAUCCCGCGUGUGCGAUGAAGGCCUUCGGGUUGUAAAGCACUUUUGGCAGGAAAGAAACGUCGCGGGUUAAUACCCCGCGAAACUGACGGUACCUGCAGAAUAAGCACCGGCUAACUACGUGCCAGCAGCCGCGGUAAUACGUAGGGUGCAAGCGUUAAUCGGAAUUACUGGGCGUAAAGCGUGCGCAGGCGGUUCGGAAAGAAAGAUGUGAAAUCCCAGAGCUUAACUUUGGAACUGCAUUUUUAACUACCGGGCUAGAGUGUGUCAGAGGGAGGUGGAAUUCCGCGUGUAGCAGUGAAAUGCGUAGAUAUGCGGAGGAACACCGAUGGCGAAGGCAGCCUCCUGGGAUAACACUGACGCUCAUGCACGAAAGCGUGGGGAGCAAACAGGAUUAGAUACCCUGGUAGUCCACGCCC